CAGUAGCCACGGGAAUACGGAGGGGGCUAGCGUUGUUCGGAAUUACUGGGCGUAAAGCGCACGUAGGCGGUUCGUUAAGUCUGUUGUGAAAGCCCCGGGCUCAACCUGGGAAUGGCAAUGGAUACUGGCGAGCUAGAGUGUGUCAGAGGAUGGUGGAAUUCCCGGUGUAGCGGUGAAAUGCGUAGAGAUCGGGAGGAACAUCAGUGGCGAAGGCGGCCAUCUGGGACAACACUGACGCUGAGGCACGAAAGCGUGGGGAGCAAACAGGAUUAGAUAUCCCAGUAGUCCCUGUCUCUUAUAC
rnacentral:rRNA from 1 species